UCUAAAAUUUUGGUUUAGCACUUCCACUUGGCAUAAAAAUUUCCUCUGAGAAGAUGCUCGAUUCGUACCAUACAGUUCAUAUAAGCCGAUAACCUAUCGCGGACUUUAAAUCGAUACGAGUCAGGAAGAAAUCACAACAGGAAAAACGAUAGCCCGCUAGUCACCAUACAAACCUUAAACCGAAAGUAAACCUAGGUCUUGCCCUAAACCCAACUCUCUGGUCUCUAACAUCUCAAGGCAUGAUAUCUAAAAAUUGAUACG
rnacentral:lncRNA from 1 species